GUAGGGUGCGAGCGUUAAUCGGAAUUACUGGGCGUAAAGCGAGCGCAGACGGUUAAAUAAGUCAGAUGUGAAAUCCCCGAGCUCAACUUGGGACGUGCAUUUGAAACUGUGUAACUAGAAUGUGUCAGAGGGAGGUAGAAUUCCACGUGUAGCAGUGAAAUGCGUAGAGAUGUGGAGGAAUACCGGUGGCGAAGGCGGCCUUCUGGACAGAUACUGACGCUGAGAUGCGAAAGCGUGGGGAGCAAACAGGAUUAGAUACCCUGGUAGUCCACGCUGUAAACGAUGUCGAUUUGGAGUUUGUUGCCUAGAGUGAUGGGCUCCGAAGCUAACGCGAUAAAUCGACCGCCUGGGGAGUACGGCCGCAAGGUUA
rnacentral:rRNA from 1 species